GAUGAACGCUGGCGGCGUGCCUAAUACAUGCAAGUCGAGCGAAUGGAUUAAGAGCUUGCUCUUAUGAAGUUAGCGGCGGACGGGUGAGUAACGCGUGGGUAACCUGCCCAUAAGACUGGGAUAACUCCGGGAAACCGGGGCUAAUACCGGAUAACAUUUUGAACCGCAUGGUUCGAAAUUGAAAGGCGGCUUCGGCUGUCACUUAUGGAUGGACCAGCGUCGCAUUAGCUAGUUGGUGAGGUAACGGGUCACCAAGGCAACGAUGCGUAGCCGACCUGAGAGGGGAAUCGGCCGCACUGGGACUGGGACGAGGCCCAGACUCCUACGGGAGUCAGCAGUAGGGAAUCGUCCGAAAUGGACGAAAGUCUGACGGAGCAACUCCGCGUGAGUGAUGAAGGCUUUCGGGUCGUAAAACUCUGUUGUUAGGGAAGAACAAGUGCUAGUUGAAUAAGCUGGCACCUUGACGGUACCUAACCAGAAAGCCACGGCUAACUACGUGCCAGCAGCCGCGGUAA
rnacentral:rRNA from 1 species